AUUUAAAAUGUAUAAUUUAUAAUAAUAAUUUUCAGAAAAAACAAAACACAACAUAAAAAACAACUCAAGGGAGAGCAACAAACAGAGUUUAUUAUUAACAGCAUGAAAUCCAUAAUUUAGUCUCAUUCCCCAUUGUAUUUAAGUAUCACCUUCACACAUCGAGUUUAAAUGUUAAGAUAAGGCAAGGAAAGAGAGAAACCAUGUAAUUAAUAACCAUAAUUAAAGAUUUUUUUUUCUUUUACUCAUUUAUAUAUAUAUGUAUAUAUAAAGUGCAUAAACUUACAAUCUAGACAAUCUAAAAAAUACAUUUUCUUUUUGCACAAUACAUUUAAUAUACAUACACUUACAACUAUUUUAUACAUUAAACACAGCAAGUUUAACAAGCUGCCCUAGCUUGACAUCAUUUGAAAUUAUUUGUUUGCAAAGAAACGAUAAUUACUUAAGAAUCACAUAUUUACUAAACCAUUAUAUAUAUAUUUCAUGAGAACAUUUAUAUAAGUAAGUAUAAACCUUUAUGAGUGAUUGUUUUGAUUUAAUGUAGGAAUUGUGUUAUCUGUGUCUGUAGACCUUCGUAUGAACAUAGUUAUGUGAGGUGCAUUACAUUAAAGAAAAUACCCAUCUAAACUUUUCCUAAAAUACUAACGUAAAACAAUGAAGAUAUACAUUUUUUUGCUUUCUAAUAGCCAAGUAGAAGAGAAGAGGAGCACAAAGCGUAACACCUACCAUGCAUAAAGACGGCGGUGAAGGAACGAAGGAAAAGCAAAUCUAUUUUACAUUGAAUACACCAUGUAUCUUUUCAAAAACAGAAUAUUCAAGAAUAUCAUUUUUCAAUGUGGGGUAAUAGCUGCUUGAUCCAAGGAUAAAUCUGACUGCCAUUCUGGGGUCAAGAAGGAAUUUUUUUCUCCUAAAUUGUUGCAAAAUUGGAAGUGCUUCAAACAGUUUUUUUUUUACCUUCUUUUGGAUCAACAGCAAAAAACAAAUGUGAGGAAGGCUGAACUUGAUGGACGCAAGUCUCUUCAGCUAUGUAACUAUGAUAUAUGGUCCAUUCAAUUUAUAUAUAUUUAAGCAAUUUAAGGUGAUUUAAUGUAUUCAUAACAGGUUCACCUUAAAUAUUUGGGUACCUGCAUUCACCUGUCAAUCAAAAGGAUUGAGGAAAAAAGACGAGCAGUAAAACACUUGUAAAUGCCUUUUUUCUGCUCACCAUUACGGUGCUCUCUUUUCAAAACUUCCCUGAGGAAUAUAGGAAUGGAGUAACACAUUUCACUCUGAUCCAAUAACAAUGCGCAGGCACUGUAGCCAUCAUGCUAGUGUCAUGGAAGAGGAAUAUCUUGCUUGAAGAUGUGUGUUACAUUACUGUAACCCCUAUGAAUCUGCAGUGAUGGUGGCACUGUAUAUAGCAUAUAUUUAUGGCUCUAGGAGCAGUUAUAGAAUCAGGUUAACCUGUUUUUACAGACUCACUAUAAUGAGAUCACCAUUAACACAUAUGCACUACCAACUCUUUUAUUGCUAGAAUACCUAUUUUUUUUAAAUAUUAAUUUUGUUUAUUAAAAGGCAAAAGAGACACAUUUAUUUUGUGCACACAUAAUUGGCUAUAUAUGUCUUGAUAAUGUAAGAGACAAUAUAUUUAACUUCUUUAUCGUAGAAUAUAGGGCUGUUAAGGUACUUUAUCAAAUUCCAUGCAAAGUAGGAUAAUGCACAAAUGAUUAGCAAUGGAAGCUGUUUGUUUAUUUUUGUUUUUGUUUAAUUUACCAGCUUAUAUUACCAGUUUAAAAUAAUAUUAAAAAAAUUACUAAUAAUAAAACUACUAAAAUUCGAGAAAAAGAAACUCAAACCAUUCACAUUAAUAAACUGAAGAUGAACAAUAUAAAUGCAACAUUUAAUUUUUUUCACAGCACAUACCUCUGGGUUAGAAGUCUUUUUAAAUAUUGAAUAAACAUAUAUCUGAUUUACUUUACUGUUAUAGCCUAUAGCUCUCAACUGUAUACAUUCACCAUGGUCCAUAAUAUAGUUUAUUAACUUUGCUUCACCUGUAAUAAAAUGUGAGAUAUUACUUUGGAAAACAUUUUUUCUGUUUUGUUCCAAUUCCGAAUCCUCAAAUUGCUCCUAGGAAUCACUAAAUCUUAAAGCUUAAAGGGACACUAGAGUCACCAAAACAACUUCAGUUUUAUGAAAGUUUUGGUGUAUAACUCAUGCCUCUGAGGUUUCACUGCUCAGUUCAAUGCCAUUUAAGAGGUAAAUCACUUUUAAAGGACCACUAUAGUGCCAGGAAAACAUACUCAUUUUCCUGGCACUAUAGUGCCCUGAGGGUGCCCCCACCCUCAGGGACCCCCUGCCGCCCGGCUCUGGAAAAGGGAAAGGGGUUAAAACUUACCUUUUUCCAGCGCUGGGCGGGGAGCUCUCUGCCUCCUCUCCUCCUGGGCUGAAUGCGCACGCGCGGCAAGAGCUGCGCGCGCAUUCAGCCCGUCGCAUAGGAAAGCAUUUACAAUGCUUUCCUAUGGACGCUUGCGUGCUCUCACUGUGAAAUCACAGUGAGAAGCACGCAAGCGCCUCUAGUGGCUGUCAAUGAGACAGCCACUAGAGGAUUAGGGGGAAGGCUUAACCCAUUCAUAAACAUAGCAGUUUCUCUGAAACAGCUAUGUUUAUAAAAAAAUGGGUUAACCCUAGAAGGACCUGGCACCCAGACCACUUCAUUAAGCUGAAGUGGUUUGGGUGCCUAGAGUGGUCCUUUAAUUCGGUCCAUGCAGCCCUAGCCACACCUCCCCUGGCUGUGAGUCACACUGCCUGCAUUAAAAAAAAUGGUUUCACUUUCAAUCAGAGGUAACUUUCUUUAUACAUUUGUAUAUCCUGCUCUCUAAAUUGAAUUUUAAUCACACACAGGAGCCUCCUGCAGGGUAUAGCAAGCUAUUAACAGUGCAAGGAAUUUAAACUUUUAAAUUGCAAUUUGCAAUAAAAGGAAGUAUAAACAUUAGAUGACUCUUUACAGGAAGUGUUAAGGAAGGCUGUGCAAGUCACAUGCAAGAAGGUGUGACUAGGGUGCAUAAACAAAGUGAUUUAACUCCUAAAUGUCAUAGAUUUGAGCAGAGAGACUGCAGGGGCAUGAUAUGUAUACUAAAACAGCAUUAUUACACUAAAGUUGUUUUGGUGCCUAUAGUGUCCCUUUAAACAUAGCAACCAACAAUUCAGGGCUAAGUUCAAAAGUGGAAUAAGAAUAUAUUAACACAGCUCUAAAAUAUAAAUUAACACCUGCAUGAAGUUUUUGAAAUGUGGAUUAUAUGAUUUUUACAUUAGUCCUAAUUAAACACCAACAAUCUAAGAGUUAGGAAAUUCUCAGUUAUGUUCCUUUGGGGAUUACGGAGAACACUUGGAAUGUUGGUGUAUCUUGAAGUAUGUGUUGUAAACACGGUGCAUGGUGAUUGCAAUUGCCUUUAGUAGUUGGUUGUCAUUUUCUUCAUAAGUUCUGAGUUUUCUUAAAUUAGUUACAAAACCUUACAUUCGAAGAAAUAUGCAAUAUUUAUGUUUCCAGAAUUAGGCUGCCCCCAAGUGGCUAAAAAUGGCAUGUACACUAAGGUUUCACAGUCUGUAAAAGAAUAUCCUCUAACAAAACAAUCAUAUUAAAUAUAUUACCACUGAAACAAAUAGAUAUCCAUGUAAAUUCAAAGGAAAAAUGUCUGUAAAUCAUAACAUCUUAGUUCAGUGAGAGUGCUCACUUGUUUAAUUCAAAAAGGCCAAAAAUAAACAUCAGUUUGCAGACAACCUUUGAUUUUGGAUGUCAGUUUUAAGGGGAUGUAUAUUAGGCACUUACAAAAUCAAAGAAUCGUUGGUAUAAUUACCAUCAUCAUAUUAUUGCUAUGUCAGCUUGUUUAGGUAGGGUGUUCUUUAUUUCUUGUCAGUUAAUUAUUGUCAAAUAUCCCCAUUCUAUAUUUGGAAAAUGCUGUAGUAAAUGUUACAACUAGAUAAAUAGUAAUAAUAACAUUGUUCCUUCAGUAACAAUAAGCUCCUGCAUCCUGCAUCCAUUAAUUUUAUCAUUAAAUCAAGACUACAAAAAGUGAAAUAUAUAUUGAAAAUCCUAUGCCCAAGGUAUCUUUAUUACAGGGAUACAAAAAAACAAUAUAUGUGUGCACAAACCACAGUGCAAUAAGUGCUCGGUAAAUAAUUAGCAGAAAAAAACCCUUCCUGAACCAGGUAGGACUUCCCCAAAGACUUCCUCUUGUCUUCAAUGGAAUGUAUACAGAUUAGCAGAUUAUCCCCUAUUUUUCUGUAUAUCUUUAUUACAGGGUAAGAAUUUUAAUAUUAUGUUUUCUAUGUUUACUUAUUCCUUAGUUAAUAAAUUUGUAAUUGUGAGCUGUGGAAAAUAAAAAGAAUUGUAGACAUCCUCACCACUUAUAUACUAUAUUCCCACUGGUGGCCUCCAUCUUAACUCCCUGUCAGCCAUUGGUGUAAGUGCUCUCUUUUGUACCUGGUAGUCAGCAUAGAUAAAGAAUACAAAGAGGAGAAAUUAAAUAAUAUUUAUACUCUUAAUUUGAGUUUACUCUGGUUGUGUCUAGAAUAAACUGAAUUGUGUUUUUUUUUGACAAAAACAAAAGCAUCACAGGGGAAAACAUUGAGCUAAUACACACUAUGGGUGCUUUUGAUGUUUUCGUCAUUGGUGUAGUUUUCACAGAAAUGACAGUUCCUCGUUUAGACACAUACUUGAGAAACCAUAUUUUAAGCACUAGAAUAUGUACUAGAUUGAAGACCACAUAUUUGUCAUUUCAAAAAAAAUAAGUAUAAUGGUUACCAUGGUACUCUGCAUCUGCUGUAUCCUUGUGUUUCUACAAUGAAAUUAAUUUAUACCAAAAAAUAGGUCAAAUGUCUGUUUUUCAAAUGUUGUGCUGUUUAUACUCAUUCCCUUUGGUGGUUAUGAACAAGAAGCAUAUGGAAUAUGUGUAUUACCUAUACACAUAGUAGUGUAUGUGAAGCACAAGGAGUUUUUUUUUAAAUGAAAUAAUGUGGUAUGCCAUCAAAAUGGAAUCUAUAAGUCAUGUUUGUUCAACAAGUAAGCUCAAAUAUAUAUGAUGAAGCUGGAACAAGUUAUUUUUCACCAGUUAGCAUUAGAGAUGUCGCAAACUGUCCGCCGAACUGUUCGCGAACUGUCCGCCGGCGAACAAUAGCGUGUUCGCGUUGGGCGAACAUAUCCGAUUUCUGGUCCGCCCCCUAUACGUCAUCAUUGAGUAAACUUUGACCCGGAACCUUACAGUCAGCAGACACUUCCUGGGAGGGAGGGUCUGCUGCUGAUUGGGUGGAAUGUGUCUGCUGGCUGUGAGGUUCCGGGUCAAAGUUUACUCAAUGAUGACGUAUAGGGGCGGACCGGAAAUCGGAUAUGUUCGCCCAACGCGAACACGCUAUUGUUCGCCGGCGGACAGUUCGCGAACAGUUCGGCGGACAGUUCGCGACAUCUCUAGUUAGCAUUAGCCACAUUUUCUCAAUAUAUGCAAAAGCACUCUGUGAGCCAUGACAUUAUAUUGAGUAGGUUUACAGUAUGCAAUGAAUAUACUAUCACAAUGAAGUGUUCUGGGGGCAGUGGUCCUGUAGUUUUAACUCUGCUAUGUAAAACAUUGCAGCUUUGUAGAAACUGCAAUGUUUUUUAUUGCAGGGUUGAAUACACUUCUUGUGGCUGUCUUCCAGACAGUCACUAGAGUCCCUUCUGCAGCAAUGACCGCGUUUGUCAGGUGACCAAAUGUACCUAAUUAACUGAGAAUUGGAUCUGUGCGUGGUGCUCAUUUAUUUCCCAAUAAGGAAAUAAAUGUAAGGAAAACCUUUUUUAAUCUCAUUUUUAUUACACAUGGGGAACCUACUGAUCUAAAUGGACAGGGGUACUAUAGUGUUAGGAAUACAGGUUUGUACUUGUAAUGCUAGUUUUCCUUUAAGGUAACCUUUUAAAGUGCUUUGAACGUUUGCAGUUUACUGAAAAUCCAAUUAUGAAGAAUAAGCUAUACUGAGUACAUAUUUCCAUUAAACUAAUUUCAAAAUACACUAAACUGAUGUUUGUUUUUUUCUAACACAAUAUUUGACUAACCCUAAUGCUUUCUUGUAUAACGAGCAUAUUUUUUAGGAUUAAUACAAGGUAGAAAAUUGUCCUUUAGUGUCCACCUUGCUGUCGGAGAACAAACUAUGGUGCAACUGAUCUGAAUCUGGUGUGCGGUGGCAAGAAAAAUGGUCAGUUGAUCACCAUAGACAGCAUAACCAAAAAAAAACAGAAAAAAAUGAGUAAAAAUUAAUCGAAGCACUGAAACUGGAAGGCAAAUCAUGUGAAGGCUCAGCUGCUUAGUUGAGCCCUAAAAAACAUAAAUUAGGAAUUAACUCAAGCAAAGGAAAAACUGGCAAUUUAAAAUGUCUACCCCCCCCCCCCAAAAAAAAAGUUAAACAAAUGAAAAAAGGGAUUUUUUUUUUCUCUUGCAAAUUAGGUUUCUGUCUUCAGAGGGCGCUCUAUACUAAAGAACAUUGGAAGAUCAUUGCCCGAACAAUGUAUAUUUGUCUUGCAAUUCAUGGCUGUUUAUUAUCUUUGGUAGAUGUUUUUGUUUAUUUAUGAAUCAGAGAAUCCAAUGAUGAAAGUAUGCAAAUAUAGCAAAUCUUAGUGUAAAUAUGUAAACUAACUUAGGGGCAUCUAGGAUACAAGAUAUGACUGCUGACAGUGCACUCUCUGGAUAAUCUCCUUUAUAAAGGAACAGAUGUCACCAACCACAGUCCAAUCCACGACAAUCAAGCUCAAUCAUGUUCACAUGAAUGGAACAAUUCUGUAACUUUAAGGUGCAUUAAUUAAAUAGCAAUACAAACAUUACUGAAUUGGAGAAGUAACUAUUCAAAUCUAACCAUUGAAGUUGUGCUAGAUAGUAUUACAUUUCUUCUAAGCCACUUUUUUUUUGAUAAGAAGUAGAAGUAUUAGCCUCAGAAAUAAGGUUAGGCAAUGGGUGUGCACUUUGUGGCCAGAUAUGUAAAUUUACACAUGUCCUGAUAGGAAAAUUUUCAUCCUAGGUAUUCGUUAUGUACUAUUCCUCAUUGACAGUUUGUCCAUUAUGAUUAUUAAAAAAGGACACCGAUUACUCACAGUUAUUAGCUAAAUGAGUUCGAUUUUGCACAAAAAGAUGCAGAACUACAAAAUAUAUUGAAGAUCUUACUUUUUCAGUUAAAAAAAUAAUUAAUAUUAUUUGAAAAAUUAUAGCUUAAAAAUAUGGGAAUGUACAAAUGUGAACAUAAAAUAUACAAAAAGUAUAUUUUUGUUGAGAAAUAACAGAAAGUAACCUAAAAUAAAUAAUAACGCAACACUUUCUUGAUGUGGAAAAUAAAAGGGACAUUCCUGUAGCCAAUCAUAACGUUUUUGGCUUCUAGGACAUUAAGAAAAUGCCCGCUCCUCUCCAAAAAAUUGCAAGAAAAGAUAUGAAUGUUCCAGCAUCUGAAAAUGUAAGGUGACAAUCCAUAAUACUUCCCUUUGUCACAAUCACGAAUUUUAUGUGGCCAAUUAUUGAAUUACCUUACAUAAGACAAAGAAGUCCCAGGUUAUGGUGAAAUUCAUUUUUUAAUUUUAAAGAGAUCUACACUAUAACUUAAAAUGAAGAUAUGAGGAAAUUCAAGAAAAAAAAAGUGAAGUCACUCCUGGAGUUUCUUGUACAUAACUAAACUACUAAAAAAUAUAUUUUUUACUAUUUAAAAAAUAAUUUUCCUUUAGGAAUAUUUGUGGGUGAACUACAUUUUUUGAAUGUUAAAAUUUAAGGAUUCAAG
rnacentral:lncRNA from 1 species